CAGAGCCGAAAUCCCAGAGCAGUGAAAAACGACCCAGUGUCACGGGGCUUCUGGUUUCAGGACACACUGGAAAGACUGGUCCCUGAGUGCUCCAAGGACCCAUGCAUCUAGUCGCAAAGGUUGCUGGGAGUAUUCUCCAUCUUGGCCUUAAAGGGCUCCCUUUCAGCUUCCCGGAUUCAUAUCUGUUUCUCUGGGAACUGAUUUCCCAUAUUCCCAAAGCCAUAGCCAGCUCCCAGCUUCAUCAUUCAGGAAAAAAAGCAAGUGUCUCCCCUUCAUCCUCCCCAUCUCCCACAAUACAUUAAGUACAAGCCCGAGGACAAGAAUCAAGAGCAAUGAAUCUUUAUCAAACAAUAAAAUCCUGUCUGGUGCCAGACCUACCUGCGCCGUCCAAGCACUACCUGCCCUGUGCCCCCAUUAAACCUCUUACCGUUGUGGCCGGUGGCUCCUGGGGCACUGUGCUUUCCGUGGCUUC